UACGUAGGGACCAAGCGUUGUUCGGAUUUACUGGGCGUAAAGGGCGCGUAGGCGGCGAAUCAAGUCAGCUGUGAAAUCUCCGAGCUUAACUCGGAACGGUCAGCUGAUACUGUUUUGCUAGAGUGCAGAAAGGGCAACCGGAAUUCUUGGUGUAGCGGUGAAAUGCGUAGAUAUCAAGAGGAACACCUGAGGCGAAGGCGGGGUUGCUAGGCUGACACUGACGCUGAAGCGCGAAAGCUAGGGUAGCAAACGGG
rnacentral:rRNA from 1 species